rnacentral:rRNA from 1 species
GAUGAACGCUGGCGACAUGGAUAAGGCAUGCAAGUCGAGCGAGUGAAUUUCCUUCGGGAUUGAAGCUAGCGGCGGACGGGUGAGUAACACGUGGGCAACCUGCCUCAUAGAGGGGAAUAGCCUUUCGAAAGGAAGAUUAAUACCGCAUAAGAUUGUAGCUUCGCAUGAAGUAGCAAUUAAAGGAGCAAUCCGCUAUGAGAUGGGCCCGCGGCGCAUUAGCUAGUUGGUGAGGUAACGGCUCACCAAGGCGACGAUGCGUAGCCGACCUGAGAGGGUGAUCGGCCACAUUGGGACUGAGACACGGCCCAGACUCCUACGGGAGGCAGCAGUGGGGAAUAUUGCACAAUGGGGGAAACCCUGAUGCAGCAACGCCGCGUGAGUGAUGACGGCCUUCGGGUUGUAAAGCUCUGUCUUCAGGGACGAUAAUGACGGUACCUGAGGAGGAAGCCACGGCUAACUACGUGCCAGCCGCCGCUGUAA